rnacentral:rRNA from 1 species
UGGUGGGUAGUUUGACUGGGGCGGUCUCCUCCCAAAGCGUAACGGAGGAGCACGAAGGUUAGCUAAUCCUGGUCGGACAUCAGGAGGUUAGUGCAAUGGCAUAAGCUAGCUUGACUGCGAGCGUGACGGCGCGAGCAGGUGCGAAAGCAGGUCAUAGUGAUCCGGUGGUUCUGAAUGGAAGGGCCAUCGCUCAACGGAUAAAAGGUACUCCGGGGAUAACAGGCUGAUACCGCCCAAGAGUUCAUAUCGACGGCGGUGUUUGGCACCUCGAUGUCGGCUCAUCACAUCCUGGGGCUGAAGUAGGUCCCAAGGGUAUGGCUGUUCGCCAUUUAAAGUGGUACGCGAGCUGGGUUUAGAACGUCGUGAGACAGUUCGGUCCCUAUCUGCCGUGGGCGCUGGAGAAUUGAGGGGGGCUGCUCCUAGUACGAGAGGACCGGAGUGGACGCAUCACUGGUGUUCGGGUUGUCAUGCCAAUGGCACUGCCCGGUAGCUAAAUGCGGAAGAGAUAAGUGCUGAAAGCAUCUAAGCACGAAACUUGCCCCGAGAUGAGUUCUCCCUGAGACUUUAAGUCUCC